rnacentral:rRNA from 1 species
AACGGAACUCUUAGAGCUUGCUCUGAGGGUUUAGUGGCAAACGGGUGAGUAAUGCAUAGGAAUCUGCCCUUUGGUAGGGGAUAGCUCGGGGAAACUCGAAUUAAUACCCUAUAACGCUGAAAAGUAAAAGUCGCAAGACACCAGAGGAUGAGCCUAUGUCCGAUUAGCUAGUUGGUGAGGUAAAAGCCCACCAAGGCGACGAUCGGUAGCUGGUUUGAGAGGAUGAUCAGCCACAGUGGAACUGAGAUACGGUCCACACUCC